rnacentral:rRNA from 1 species
GACGAACGCUGGCGGCGUGCCUAAUACAUGCAAGUUGAGCGCUGAAGGUUGGUACUUGUACCAACUGGAUGAGCAGCGAACGGGUGAGUAACGCGUGGGGAAUCUGCCUUUGAGCGGGGGACAACAUUUGGAAACGAAUGCUAAUACCGCAUAAAAACUUUAAACACAAGUUUUAAGUUUGAAAGAUGCAAUUGCAUCACUCAAAGAUGAUCCCGCGUUGUAUUAGCUAGUUGGUGAGGUAAAGGCUCACCAAGGCGAUGAUACAUAGCCGACCUGAGAGGGUGAUCGGCCACAUUGGGACUGAGACACGGCCCAAACUCCUACGGGAGGCAGCAGUAGGGAAUCUUCAGCAAUGGACGAAAGUCUGACCGAGCAACGCCGCGUGAGUGAAGAAGGUUGUCGGAUCGUAAAACUCUGUUGGUAGAGAAGAACGUGGGUGAGAGUGGAAAGCUCAUCAAGUGACGGUAACUACCCAGAAAGGGACGGCUAACUACGUG